rnacentral:rRNA from 1 species
GCCUACGACCAUCUCACCCUGAAUGCGCCCGAUCUCGUCUGAUCUCGGAAGCUAAGCGGAGUCGAGCCUAGUUAGUACUUGGAUGGGAGACUGCCUGGGAAUACCAGGUGUUGUAGGCU